ACAUACCUAUACUUUUAUUUAUUAUUUUACCAUUUUAGCCUUGAAAUUUAAAUUAAUUUCUUCCCCAACCACAGUUGUUUUCAGAUUUAGGAAUGAAACAGCCAUUUUCUUUUUCAUAUUUGAGAAGUAAAACACUAAUUUCUCCCCUAUUUUUUGCUUUGUUCUUGGUUGUAGCUGCUUUUUGAAGGUUGGAGGCUCUGAAGUGCCUACUUCAUUUGUUAGUGUAGAAGUAGGCAAGGUAUGUAUUUGAAAUAGUGAAACUUGUUUAAAAUCGUGUAACUACAAGGAAAAAUGUAAAAUCUUACCUACAAGUUUGAUGUCUGUGUUAUCAACCAA